AUGGACAACCCAUUUAGGGUUACAUCAAAACAAAGCGCAGAACAACAACAGCAGACUCAGGUAUCCAACAAAUGAACAAGCGCCUCCACCCUCACCUCAGACCUCACCCUCCUCCUCCGGCCGACCUCCUCCAGCCGUCCUCCUCACAGGUCGACAUAAUAUCAGCAAUUCCUGCCCUAAAAUCUCUACAAAAGUGACCAGCGACAUCAGCGACAGCGGCGGCUUCCUUCUCCGGCGGCCCUGCUUCCUUCUCCGGCGACAUCAGCAACAGGUAAUUUAUUGGACUAAAUGACUAAUUCUAUGAUGUAAUUGUUAAACAUUAUCGAAUAAUAUGUUGUGAUUGUUGUUUAAAUGUUUAAUUAUUGUUUGAUUGGACUGAUUAAGUGAUUAUAAGUUGAUGUUAAU
rnacentral:lncRNA from 1 species